AUUGCUUUGCGUCAACCGCACCAGCGACCAGACCAUCGCGAGUGAAAACGGGAUCAGCGCGACAUCGGGCAGUAUGCGCGACGCGAACAUGCCGUACUCGGGCGCAACAAGCGGCAUCAGCACGGCGAGAACCACCGCGCUGCGAUCGCGCGUCAAACGCCAGACAAUAUCGCCAAGGAGCGCGACGGCGAUCCACAUUGCCAGCAAUCC
rnacentral:misc_RNA from 1 species